CCUGGUUGAUUCUGCCAGUAGUCAUAUGCUUGUCUCAAAGAUUAAGCCAUGCAUGUCUAAGUAUAAGCAACUUUAUACUGUGAAACUGCGAAUGGCUCAUUAAAUCAGUUAUAGUUUAUUUGAUGGUACUUUGCUACAUGGAUAACUGUGGUAAAUCUAGAGCUAAUACAUGCUUAAAAGCCCCGACUUCUUGGAAGGGGUGUAUUUAUUAGAUAAAAACCAACCCUUCGGGUCCCUUGGUGAAUCAUAAUAACUUUUCUAAUCGCAUGGCCUUGUGCCGGCGAUGCUUCAUUCAAAUAUCUGCCCUAUCAACUGUCGAUGGUAGGAUAGAGGCCUACCAUGGUUGCAACGGGUAACGGGGAAUAAGGGUUCGAUUCCGGAGAGGGAGCCUGAGAAACGGCUACCACAUCCAAGGAAGGCAGCAGGCGCGCAAAUUACCCAAUCCCGACACGGGGAGGUAGUGACAAUAAAUAACAAUAUAGGGCUUUUAAAGUCUUAUAAUUGGAAUGAGUACAAUUUAAAUCCCUUAACGAGGAACAAUUGGAGGGCAAGUCUGGUGCCAGCAGCCGCGGUAAUUCCAGCUCCAAUAGCGUAUAUUAAAGUUGUUGCAGUUAAAAAGCUCGUAGUUGAACUUCAGGCCUGGCCGGUCGGUCCGCUUAACAGCGUGUACUGCUUGGCCGGGCCUUCUCUCUUGGUGAUCCGGCAUGCUCUUUACUGGGUGUGUCGGGGAACCAGGAUUUUUACUUUGAAAAAAUUAGAGUGUUCAAAGCAGGCCUAUGCCCGAAUAUAUUAGCAUGGAAUAAUAAAAUAGGACGUGCGGUUCUAUUUUGUUGGUUUCUAGGAUCGCCGUAAUGAUUAAUAGGGAUAGUUGGGGCAUUAGUAUUCACAUGCUAGAGGUGAAAUUCUUGGAUUUUGUGAAGACUAACUACUGCGAAAGCAUUUGCCAAGGAUGUUUUCAUUAAUCAAGA
rnacentral:rRNA from 1 species